rnacentral:rRNA from 1 species
UACGGGGGGGGCAAGCGUUGUUCGGAAUUACUGGGCGUAAAGGGCUCGUAGGCGGCCAACUAAGUCAGACGUGAAAUCCCUCGGCUUAACCGGGGAACUGCGUCUGAUACUGGAUGGCUAGAGGUUGGGAGAGGGAUGCGGAAUUCCAGGUGUAGCGGUGAAAUGCGUAGAUAUCGGGAGGAACACCAGUAGCGAAGGCGGCACUCUGGGCCGGUACUGACGCUGAGGAGCGAAAGCAUGGGGAGCGAACAGG